rnacentral:tRNA from 2 species
GCCUUGUUAGCUCAGUGGUAGAGCAUUCGGCUUUUAACCGAAUGGCCGUGGGUUCGACCCCCACACAAGGCG